UACGAACGCUGGCGGCGUGCUUAACACAUGCAAGUCGAACGGAAAGGCCCUGCUUUUGUGGGGUGCUCGAGUGGCGAACGGGUGAGUAACACGUGAGUAACCUGCCCUUGACUUUGGGAUAACUUCAGGAAACUGGGGCUAAUACCGGAUAGGAGCUCCUGCUGCAUGGUGGGGGUUGGAAAGUGUCGGCGGUUGGGGAUGGACUCGCGGCUUAUCAGCUUGUUGGUGGGGUAGUGGCUUACCAAGGCUUUGACGGGUAGCCGGCCUGAGAGGGUGACCGGCCACAUUGGGACUGAGAUACGGCCCAGACUCCUACGGGAGGCAGCAGUGGGGAAUAUUGCACAAUGGGCGGAAGCCUGAUGCAGCAACGCCGCGUGCGGGAUGACGGCCUUCGGGUUGUAAACCGCUUUCGCCUGUGACGAAGCGUGAGUGACGGUAAUGGGUAAAGAAGCACCGGCUAACUACGUG
rnacentral:rRNA from 1 species